UACGUAGGGUGCAAGCGUUGUCCGGAAUUAUUGGGCGUAAAGAGCUCGUAGGCGGUUCGUCGCGUCGGCUGUGAAAUCCCGAGGCUCAACCUCGGGUCUGCAGUCGAUACGGGCGGACUGGAGUUCGGCAGGGGAGACUGGAAUUCCUGGUGUAGCGGUGAAAUGCGCAGAUAUCAGGAGGAACACCAGCGGCGAAGGCGGCGCUCUGGGCCGGUACUGACACUGAGGAGCGAAAGCGUGGGUAGCAAACAGG
rnacentral:rRNA from 1 species